GGUAAGUAGCAGUUAAAAUACUUUCCUCCAAAAAACUUUAUGGUAAUUUUAAUGUAAACAUCAAAGCUUUUGCCACUUGCAAUAAAUUUUUAUGUUUCCUUCUACCACCCCAUUUUGCCUUGGAGGAUAGGGACAAGUUCUCUAAUGUAAAAUUCCUUUCGUUUUGAAGAUAGCAGUGCAAUAUUGGUUUAUGAAUUCAGUACCAUUAUUUGACCUCACUUUCUGUGUUUUUGAAAUUGAUUUCUAUCAUGUUGAAAAAUUCAUGAAGGAUGUUAUAGACUCUAGUUUUGUCAUGCAAUAAGUAUGUCCAUGUAACCCUUGAAAAAUCAUCAAUAAUGGUAAGAACAAAUUUUGACUGUGAAAUUGAAUACACUGAGUGUGGUGCCCAUAAAUCUAUGUGAAUCAAAUCAAAUGUUGACUAUGUAGUUAUUUUGCUAUUUUGAAAACUAAUCCUCUGUUGUUUAGCAAAUGGGCAUACCUCACAAACUUCCUGAACUUUUGUUCUUUGGUUUGAUGGCGGUGAUAUGAGACAAUUUUGUGCUAGAUAUGUGUCCAAGUUUGGAAUGCCAUAACUCAUAGGAAUUAGAUGAUAUGGAAGAUAGGUAAACCUCAUUCAUUUGAAGUAUAGGCUUGGUAUAAUGAAUUUUAGAAACAGGGAUUAGUACUAGAAAUUUCAUGACUACACUUAUAUCCAAAAGACCAAUUUAUUAUGUAUAGUCCUCCCUGUAAUUCUCCUCUUGCUGCCACUUCCUUAGUCACUUGGUCCUACAAAAAGCAAUAGUCAAUAAAGAAUUUGGCAAUUAUAUUGGAGGUUUUGGUUAGUGCAAUUACUGACAAUAUGUUGUGCUUGAAGCAAGGUACAUAAAGGAUAUUAGACAGUUUUAGCUUUGGGUUAAUUGUGGUGGCUCCACUGUAGAAAACAAG
rnacentral:misc_RNA from 1 species